CUUUUUGCAAAUAUGGAUAGUUAGAGUCUUUAGCGAGUUCUAUCAGGUAAAGCCAAUGAUUAGAGGCAUCAGGGGCGCAAUGCCUUUGACCUAUUCUCAAAGGUAGGAUGGCACGGCUGCUUCGUUGAGCCACACCACGGAAUCAAUAGCUUUGAGUGGGCCAUUUUUGGUAAGCAGAACUGACGAUGCGAGAUGAACCGAAAACCGAGUUACGAUGCCUAACUGUGCGCUAACCUAGAACCCACAAAAGGUGUUGGUCGAUUAAGGCUUAGUUUGGAUGCAUAGUAUGUUUACGUCCAGUGAGAUUAAAAACAGCGGUAGUAGUGAGAUUAGUUACUGAUGCGAUGAGAUUAGAUAUUGUAGCGGUGAGAUUAAAAACAACGGUAGAGUAUGUGUUUGGAUUCAAAUGCAUCUGUAGUGGUAAGAUAAUAAUAGAAAAUAACUAUCAAUGACAUUAUAUUAGAAAUAAUAUAUAAUAGAAGUUUUUAAAAUUAUUUUACUUUUACGAAAUCAUUAAAAAUAUGUGAAUUUAUAAAUUCAUUUAAUAAAAUAUUAAAAUAUAUCUUCUGAUAUUUUAUUAUAUAAAAUGGGAAUUUUUAACAUUUUUAAAUCAAAAUAAUUAAAAAUUAAAAAUUAAAAUAAAUAAUCUAAAAGUAGUUAAUUCAAGGAAUGGUAAAUUAAAAUUUCUUUUGAUAAUAACGUAUAUUAGUUUGUUAUAAAAUAAUGGGGAAAAUGUUUAUUAUUUUUGCUUUAACCAUCAAAGUGUUUUUUUUUACUUUUCUUUAUUCAAUUUAUUAAUAUAUGAAAAAGAACAAAAACAACUUUGAAUUUUCAAUUGGACAUAAAUGGAGCAGUGAAAAUUUUAGGGUGUGACGAGAUCUAUUCCCUUCCACCGCACUAGAAUUUGGUCAUCCAAAGGGAGCUUUGUGCUGGGAUUGCACAAAAAUCAAUAGAAAACACAUUGUACUGAUGCUAAAUGGAGAACUAAAGGAAGCCUAAGACAGCAAGAUGGUGGUCAUGGAAGUUGAAAUCCGCUAAGGAGUGUGUAACAACUCACCUACCGAAUCAACUAGCCCCAAAAAUAGACGGCGCUUAAGCACAAGACCUAUACCCGGCUGUCAAGGCAAGGGCCAGGCCUUGAUGAGUGGAGGGCGCGACAUUCGCCACAAAACUUGGGGUGCGAGCUCAGGCGGAGUGGCCGUUAGUG
rnacentral:ncRNA from 1 species